CCUACGGGCGGCAGCAGUGGGGAAUAUUGGGCAAUGGGCGCAAGCCUGACCCAGCAACGUAGCGUGAAGGAAGAAUGCUCUCGGGUUGGAAAACUCUUUUUACAGGGGAGUGUAGAAGUCGGUACCUGUCGAAUUAGCUACGGCUAACUACGGGCCAGCAGCUACGGUAAUACGAAGGUGGCAAGCGUUGUCCGGAUUUACUGGGUGUAACGGGAGUGUAGCCGGGUUGACAAGGCAGGUGUGAAAUCCUGCGGCUUAACCGUAGAACUGCAGUUGAAACUGGUGGUCUUGAGUACAGUAGAGGUGGACGGAAUUCGUAGUGUAGCGGUGAAAUGCGUAGAUAUUACGAAGAACUCCAGUGGCGAAGGCGGCUUACUGGACAGUAACUGACAUUGAGGCUCGAAAGCGUGGGGAGCAAACAGGAUUAGAUACCCGUGUAGUC
rnacentral:rRNA from 1 species